rnacentral:rRNA from 1 species
ACAAAGUCACUAGCACUGAUGGUAUGAUGGGGGCGAUGAGGGGAGCAACUCCAGAAGCAAUGACGAUAGAGAAAAAAAAAUAAAAAGAAAAAAAUUAAAUGCACCAAACACUAAUCACGAAACAGAAAAACUGUUUAAACUAUUUAAUUUGGCGAAUUAUGGAAAUAAAACACAAGGGUGUCAAGCGAACAACACCAGUGAAAGCGUAAAAAAACUAAGCACAAUUAAAAACUGAGAGAAAACAAUAAAUAUUAAUAAAAACUCAGGAGCUAUGCAAAAACACCACCGUCACGUCAGAGAGCAGAAGCUUUUUUCAUAAACAUCAUAAAAUAUGACAUAGUUUAUUUAAACAUAGAAUAAAUGUCAUUAAUUUGAUAAAGUGUUGAUAGAUUUAUAUGAAUACAGUGCGUUAAUUUUUCGGAAUUACAUUAACAAUGCGAAAGAUUCAGGAUACCUUCGGGACCCGUCUUGAAACACGGACCAAGGAGUCUAACAUAUGUGCAAGUUAUUGGGAUAUAAACCUAAUAGCAUAAUUAACUUGACUAAUAAUGGGAUUAGUUUUUUAACUAUGCAUAGAUAAUUAACACAAUACCGGGGCGUUCUAUAUAGUUAUGUAUAAUGAUAUUUAUAUUAUUUAUACCUCUAACUGAUCAGGUUGAAGUCAGGGGAAACCCUGAUGGAAGACCGAAACAGUUCUGACGUGCAAAUCGAUUGUCAGAAUUGAGUAUAGGGGCGAAAGACCAAUCAAACCAUCUAGUAGCUGGUUCCUUCCGAAGUUUCCCUCAGGAUAGCCGGUGCAUUUAAAUGUUAUAUAAAAUAAUCUUAUCUGAUAAAGCGAAUGAUUAGAGGCCUUAGGGUCGAAACGAUCUUAACCUAUUCUCAAACUUUAAAUGGGUAAGAACCUUAACUUUCUUGAUAUGAAGUGGGCCACUUUUGGUAAGCAGAACUGGCGCUGUGGGAUGAACCAAACGUAAUGAUACGGUGCCCAAAUUAACAACUCAUACAGAAACCAUGAAAGGCGUUGGUUGCUUAAAACAGCAGGACGGUGAUCAUGGAAGUCGAAAUCCGCUAAGGAGUGUGUAACAACUCACCUGCCGAAGCAACUAGCCCUUAAAAUGGAUGGCGCUUAAGUUGUAUACCUAUACAUUACCGCUAAAGUAGAUGAUUUAUAUUAUUUAUAAUAUAAAUUUUAAAACUUUAGUGAGUAGGAAGGUACAAUGGUGUGCUUAGAAGUGUUUGGCGUAAGCCUGCAUGGAGCCGCCAUUGGUACAGAUCUUGGUGGUAGUAGCAAAUAAUCGAAUGAGACCUUGGAGGACUGAAGUGGAGAAGGGUAUCGUGUGACCGGUGGUGAUCACGAGUUAGUCGUCUAAGUUCAAGGCGAAAGCCGAAAUUUUCAAGUUUAAAAAUGUCAAAUGAAAUAAUAAAUAAUAAACACUUGAAUAAUUUGAACGAAAGGGAAUACGGUUCCAAUUCGUAACGUGUUGAGUAUCCGUUUGUUAUUAAAUAUGGGCCUCGUGCUCAUCCUGGCAACAGGAACGACCAUAUAGAAGCCGUCGAGAGGUAUCGGAAGAGUUUGCUUUUCUGUUUCUGUUCUGUAGAUGGGCUAGAAGAGCAUGACAUAUACUGUUGUGUCGAUAUUUUCUCCUCGGACCUUGAAAAUUUAUGGUGGGGAUACGCAAACUUCUCAACAGGCCGUACCAAUAUCCGCAGCUGGUCUCCAAGGUGAAGAGUCUCUAGUCGAUAGAAUAAUGUAGGUAAGGGAAGUCGGCAAAUUAGAUCCGUAACUUCGGGAUAAGGAUUGGCUCUGAAGAUUGAGAUAGUCGGGCUUGAUUGGGAAACAAUAACAUGGUUUAUGUGCUCGUUCUGGGUAAAUAGAGUUACUAUCAUUUAUGAUAGUUAUUUGUUCCCCGGAUAACUAACUAGUUACGUAGCCAAUUGUGGAACUAUUAAAAUUUUUAAGAAUACUAAUUUUUAAUUAGUUUUUUUAAAUUAUAACGAUUAUCAAUUAACAAUCAAUUCAGAACUGGCACGGACUUGGGUAAUUCGACUGUCUAAUUAAAACAAAGCAUUGUGAUGGCCCUAGCGGAUGUUGACACAAUGUGAUUUCUGCCCAGUGCAGUUGAGACGGUUUGGUCAGCGAUAACGCCACGCGACCUGAGGGAAAAUAAAAUAAAGUUGUCAAGUGCUCCGGGUCCUGACGGUAUCACUCCAAGAACAGCCAAUGGGCUGCAGGGCUAACAGCCUUAGGCAUUAUGCUACGCAUAAUGAACCUGAUUCUCUGGUGCGGCAAAAUACCAUUCUCUACCCGACUGGCCAGAACUAUCUUCAUUCCGAAGACUGUGACGGCAAAUCGACCGCAAGACUUUCGUCCAAUAACAGUCCCCUCGGUUUUGGUCAGGCAAUUAAACGCUGUUCUGGCUUCUCGAUUGGCUUCUAAAGUCAACUGGGAUCCAAGGCAGCGCGGUUUCCUACCUACCGAUGAGUACCGAUAAGCAAGGUGACCCUCUGUCUCCAUUACUAUUUAAUGGUAUAAUUGAUAGAUUACUUAGGUCCUACCCCAGAGAGAUUGGUGCCAAAGUCGGAAAUAACAUGGCAAGCGCGGCAGCGUUCGCGGAUGAUCUAGUGCUAUUUGCGGAAACUCCGUUGGGGCUUCAAACAUUGUUGGAUACCACGGUAGGCUUCCUAGCCUCCGUGGGACUCUCACUUAAUGCUGGUAAGUGCUUCACUGUCAGUAUAAACGGGCAAGCCAAGCAGAAGUUUACUGUCGUAGAACGACGGAGCUUUUGUGUAGGUGAGCGCGAGUGUCCUUCAUUGAAGCGUACUGAAGAGUGGAAGUAUUUAGGUAUCCGGUUCGCUGCGGAUGGGCGGGCUCGGU